UACGUAGGUGACAAGCGUUGUCCGGAUUUACUGGGCGUAAAGAGCGCGCAGGCGGUCGAUCAAGUCGAGUGUGAAAGCCCCCGGCUCAACUGGGGAGGGUCAUUCGAUACUGAUCGACUCGAAGGCAGGAGAGGGUAGUGGAAUUCCCGGUGUAGUGGUGAAAUGCGUAGAUAUCGGGAGGAACACCAGUGGCGAAGGCGACUACCUGGCCUGUUCUUGACGCUGAGGCGCGAAAGCUAGGGGAGCAAACGGGGG
rnacentral:rRNA from 1 species